rnacentral:misc_RNA from 1 species
UCCCCGUUACCGAGGCAGUCUAGCUAGAAAAAUUCAACUAACUACAAGGGUUGCGCUCGUUGAUGGACUUAACCAAACAUCUCACGACACGAGCUGACGACGGCCAUGCAACACCUGUCUUCGGGUUCCAAAAGGCACUCUCUGCUUUCGCAAAGAUUCCCGAGAUGUCAAACCCUGGUAAGGUUCUACGCUUAGCAUCGUAUUAAACAACACGCUCCACCGCUUGUGCGGGUCCCCGUCAAUUCCUUUAUGUUUUAGCCUUGCGGCCGUACUCCACAGGCGGGAUGCUUAACGCGUUAGCUUCGCUACUACCAGGGUCGAUACUGAUAACAGCUAGCAUCCAUAGUUUACGGCGUGGACUAC